UAGAUAUUAUGAAGAAUACCGGUGGCGAAGGCGGCCUCCUGGAUCUGUACUGACACUGAGGUGCGAAAGCGUGGGUAGCGAACAGGAUUAGAUACCCUGGUAGUCCACGCCGUAAACGAUGACAACUAGCUGUUGGGAGACAAUGUCUUUCAGUGGCGCAGCUAACGUUUUAAGUUGUCCGCCUGGGGAGUACGGCCGCAAGGCUAAAACUCAAAUGAAUUGACGGGGACCCGCACAAGCGGUGGAGCAUGUGGUUUAAUUCGAUGCAACGCGAAAAACCUUACCUACUCUUGACAUACUUGGAAGCUCUUGUAAUGAGAGUGUGCCUUUUGGAACUAAGAUACAGGUGCUGCAUGGCUGUCGUCAGCUCGUGUCGUGAGAUGUUCCGUUAAGUCGGAUAACGAGCGCAACCCUUACCCUUAUUUGCCAGCGAUUCGGUCGGGAACUAUAAGGGGACUGCCGGUGAUAAACCGGAGGAAGGUGAGGACGACGUCAAGUCAUCAUGGCCCUUACGAGUAGGGCUACACACGUGCUACAAUGGGGAAUACAGACGGACGCUAAGCCGCGAGGUGGUGCUAAUCCUAAAAAGUUCUUCGUAGUCCGGAUUGGAGUCUGCAACUCGACUCCAUGAAGUCGGAAUCGCUAGUAAUCGCGAAUCAGCAUGUCGCGGUGAAUACGUUCUCGGGUCUUGUACACACCGCCCGUCACACCAUGGAAGUGGAUUGCACCAGAAGUAGAUAGUCUAACCUUCGGGAGGGCGUUUACCACGGUGUGCUUCAUGACUGGGGUGAAGUCGUAACAAGGUAGCCGUAGGGGAACCUGUGGCUG
rnacentral:rRNA from 1 species